ACAGGGCUUUUGUAUAACUACAAGGAAACUGAUAAUCCUAAAUAAAUUACACAGGAAAAAUAUGAAUCUUUGAAUACUAGUAAUUAUAAUGGUUAUUUUUCACUUUUGUAGCACCUGCAAAUGAUGUAUAUAUAACAAAGCUUCAAAAAGCUCUAAUUAACUUUUUAUUUUUUUCCAUUUACUGGCUUUAACCAGUUUGCAUUAAUUGGCAAUUUAUAUCUAUAUAUUUUUACCAAAUAUUUCUAUUACUUUUGAGUAGCUGGAAAUCACACAUUAUUGAAUUUAUUUCCACUGAGUUUGUUUUCAGUUUUUGUCAGUCACUUGCACUAAACUUCUCGCUCUCUGCCUCACUCAAUCCAGGGGGUGUGGAAUGAAGUACAAAUUUCCCUGUUACUCUUCUGGUGGAAGUGUCCUGCCCUGGCCUUUGUGGUGUAGUUACAUGAUUUCUUCCUAAUUGUGCCAGUCAGAAUUCCUACCUACUCCUACCAAAUGUGCAAGGGCUCUAUUUGGAAGACCUUCAGGCUCAGCUUUUUGACAGAUCUCUCUGGGCUAUUUGCUGUAUGAGAUUAGUCUCACCAUCAGGAAGCUUUAGAGCUUAGGGGAAGUCAGACCCAGAUGAAGCAGAGCUCUGAGGGUGUCUUAAAAUGGACACCCAAUAAAAACCUUUGAAACGGCAAUCCUGAUUAUCUGAAAUUACCGCUUGCUGCCACUUUGGGUGGCAAUACCAGGGAAUGAAGGAGUCUGAAAUUGACCGGGGCCUGGGAAGCACUAUGGUAUUUGCCUCAGAAGGUCUAGAGGGCAAACAGAAGCAACCUAUGCUUUAGUUUUCUUUCUUUUAUCUUUUUUCCCUCCUGAUUUUGUUUGAUUCUCACACUGUCUACACAGUAGUUGAUGUACGUGAAAGGUCUGGCAGGAUGUGGAAUCUCUCUCUUACUAGGGAAGAAGAAUGGUUAGCUUCCAGAGACUGGACUAGGGGCUUGGGAAGAGCAGAGCAUGUUUACCUCCAAAAAUCUCAGUAGGAGGAAUCAGACCAGAGUUGUAUGUGUUCUUCUCCCCUCCCUCCCUCUCUGCCUCCCUCCUUUCCUUCCUUCCUUCUUUCCUCCCUUCCUAUCUGCUUUUUAAAAGAAUUUAAAAAACAUUUAAGAAUUUUUCAAAAGAACAUGUAGCUGCUCCGCAGGUAGGAAGUGGAAGCUGGUGAAGGUUCUGGCUGGCGAUGAGAGCCUGUCAGACUCUGUCAUGGCCCAUUUCUCUGACUGACCAUGGGCCUAGGCCUGAGUGAACGCCGCCUGAGAGUAAGACGCAGGCCUCUCAGGAUGCAGAGGCAAGAUGGCUGCCACAGCCAUCUGCAGAACAUCAAAGGCUGCUGCCUGAUGGUGCUCAGUCUGCCAAAGCGUCUAAAGGGUUUGGCGCCUGACUAGAAAUCGGAUGCAAACUGUCCAUCUGCCGCAUGGCACUGGUGACAGCUGAUUCUUUUGCAGUCUGCAAGAUGAACCCAACCCAAGCCAAUCGCUCCUGUCCCUGAUUGUACAAGGUUGAUCCGACCCAUUUCAUUAGCCAGACACAUGAGAUACAGUAUGUGGUUUUUCAUUUUACCAUGUACGUGACACUAUAAAUUCUAGUGCUGGGGAUGAGCUGAGAAACCAAAGGGGACACACUGCUGCUUCUGUGGAGAAAGCAUAUUGGCAAUGUUCAAAGCAUAUUGGGGCAUAACAGUAGCCUAAAAACCCCAAUAUGGACUAGGACAGCUGACCAGCUGUCCUGACUGACAUUUUUAACAUGUUUCAAGGGUGUCCCUACAGGACAUAAAAACUAACUAUUCAUCUGUGUACCUCUUUUUUGUCCCACCCUGCCCUGGCUUCAACUAAAUGUGUGCUUCAUGGAAAGUCAGAGCAUAACUAUCAGCUCCGGUGACAAAGGAAAGCUGUGCAUGCUCGGCCUGUGGCCUACCUGCCCGGAAAUGCUCGGGCUCCGCUGGGAAUGAACGACUGCUGGCAGCCACUGGAAUGGAUGAAAACGGACCCCAGAAGUGAACAUGUGCAGCUCUCCUGCAAGCAGUCCCUCUGUAGGAAAACUAAAAGCAAUGAUAGACAGCACUUGGGAGACUGAGACAAGAGGAUCAUUGCAAGUGUGAGACCAGCCUGGGGUACAGAGAGAGCUGGAGACCAGCCUGAACUGCAGAGCAAGAUCCCAUCUAAAAACAGACAAAGGAACCGAAUUUCAAAGUGGUAUACUGAAACAAAGGAUAUUGGUGAGACUCAAUAUAUUAACCCCACCAACAAUUUGGGUUGCUCCAGUGACUGAAGUACAGCAGAAAGAAGGAAGAGGGGUUGUCUUCCUUUUGCAUUUCUGGUCCUUAUCUUUUUAAUAUGUGGGACAUUACUGAGAUGCUUGUCAUAAGAAGGAGAGGAGAAAUCAUAUAUAUCAGACUGCCUAUUCUCUAAGAAGACUUUUUUUUUUUUUUUUUUUUUUGCCACUUGUGGUGGUACACAUUUGUAAUCCCAGCACUUGGGAAACUCAGGCAGGAGGAUCCUUGCAAGUCUGACACCAGCCCGGCCUACAAAGUCAGCUCAUGACCAGCCUGAACUGCAUACAGAGACUCUGUCUCAAAAGACAAAAACAAAAAAUCUUUUUGGGGGAUCAAGACUCUUCAGAUCAAAUUAAGGAUACAAAUACACUAAGUGAGUUGAGCUGGACUGAAAAUGGAUCCUUACCUUGGUACAGUUACAUGGAAUAAUCUAUGCUUCCAAUUACACCCUUUUUCCUUACAAGAGGAAGAUCAAGCAUGGAAACACUCUUAAAUAGGUUUGAAACAAGUGUGGCCAUUAGUAUUAAGGGGAAUAAAAGGCAUACUAUUAAUGCAUACGCUGUCUUUGAAGACAGCUGCUUUUCUGCACAGGAGUGGAAGGGAAGACUGGACCUGGAGGACAACUGAGGGGGAAAUUCUAUUGUAAACUGACACUUUUGCUCAGGUCACUGGCACUGGAGACAUGAGUUUGAUGGUGGUGAGAGUGGCGAUGUAACAGUUCUCAGAGGGACGGUGCCAUCAGAGCUUCCCCACAGCACCUCAACCCUUGGCUUCCUUUCCUCCACCUGUCUAACAGAUCUUUCCAGGAGGAAGGCUUCAGCCCUCUCGGUCUACCUCACCCCAGCACUUUCACCCUCUGGACCAGAAAUGAGAAACAUAGUCUAUAGUUUUUACUACUGAACUUUUAGUUUUUCAGAUCUAGUUUUGAACAUGUCAUCAGAAAAAAAAAGUCAAAGGUCUUUCUCCCCCCCCACUUUUAUAUUUUCUUAAGAAUCUUGUUAUCCGAGCUCCCUGGGGAGGUGCAGUGACACCUUGGGAAACAGUCCAGUCUCUGUCAGGUGGUGGGAGGUUUCCAAUUGUCGCUUUAAAAAAUAAUGAUCUGUAGCCAAUUAAAAAGCUGAGAGAGCCUUCUA